UACGUAGGGACCAAGCGUUGUUCGGAUUUACUGGGCGUAAAGGGCGCGUAGGCGGCGUGACAAGUCACUUGUGAAAUCUCCGGGCUUAACUCGGAACGGCCAAGUGAUACUGUCGUGCUAGAGUGCAGAAGGGGGCAAUCGGAAUUCUUGGUGUAGCGGUGAAAUGCGUAGAUAUCAGGAGGAACACCGAGUGGCGAAGGCAGGUCUCUGGGCAUUAACUGACGCUGGAGGAGCGAAAGCAUGGGGAGCGAACAGG
rnacentral:rRNA from 1 species